rnacentral:rRNA from 1 species
UGAGGAACAUGACCUUCGGCGGGGGAUAGCCGGCCCAACGGCCGGGUAAUACCGCGUACGACCACAUGGGGACAUCCCCGAGUGGUGAAAGCAGCAAUGCGCCGAUGGAGUGCCUCGCGGCCUAUCAGCUAGUUGGUGAGGUAACGGCUCACCAAGGCAACGACGGGUAGCUGGUCUGAGAGGAUGGCCAGCCACAGUUGGGACUGAGACACGGCCCAGACCUCCGUAGGGACGG